rnacentral:lncRNA from 1 species
GGUUUUCAUUUUAUUAUCACUCACAUCUACAGGGAAGGGAACCGGGUUGCGGAUUGUUUGGCUUCUUCUGUAGCGGAGGAAGGCUAUUGGAAUUUUACGAUCCCGGAUAUCCUACAGUUGGUGAAGGAUGACAGGCGGCAACUUCCUUACAUUCGGGUUGUCAAUUGAGGUGUUCUUCUUUCUUGGGUGUUCCUCUCCCUUUUCUUGCUUGCGUUUUGUUUGUUUCGUUUGUUUGUUAGUGAUUCUGCCUGUCUGGUGUGAUGACUUCUCCCUUUCGCACUUUCUUGCCUCUCUUACUUCUUUGGUCCAGCUUGGUCUCCUUGGGGCACUGGUUUGUGUUUGUUUGGGUUGUUAAUCUGGUUCUUUUGGUCCUGCUGUCCGGGUGUUGGGAAGGUUUCCAAAGUUUGGGUAGUCACACUUGGCGGUCCUUGCUUGUCGUGAUUUGUCCGGUAGAUGCUAGCAGGAGUGUCUUCACUGCGAUAAGCUUAAUAUCUUCUCUGGUUGGUAUUGGAGUUUGCUGCUGGUCUUUGCUCCUCUGAUGGAUCCCUCAUUAUGAGCAUGGGAAAUCACGCGGGAAAACUUGGGUUACCACCAAUGGUUUCAUCCCGUGAUCUUGACCUUGAAAAGCACUUUUUGAGCAUAAGCUUAAUAAGUUUGAGAAUUGAUUAUAAAAGUAAUUGCUUUAGGAGAUUCACUGCUAGCGGAGAACUGGGUCUGAUCGUCUUGUUUGGUCUUCUCGCUGUGAUGUCCCUUGCUUUUGUUCUUCCCUUCAUCUGUGAUGGUUGGAUCUUUUGCUCCUGGGUUUGGUUGGUGCUUGUUUUGAGGUUGUGCCCCUCUGGAGUUCAACCUGUACUGAAGUUUGUUUGGUGGCCAGUUUGUCUUGUUUGGUUGGGUCUUCCCUCGAUGGGCUGGGGCUCGUUUUGUGGUGUUGUCCCCUCUUUUUCCUUUUCUGUGUUUGUUUGCUCUUUUUUGCUGUUUCGGUUUCCUCUUCCGUCGGUUGUUGGUUUUUGGCAGAUCUGCGCUUUUUCCCGUUUGCGCUGAUGCGGCGUCUCCAGUGGUUCCGGAGGUGACCAGAGCAGGGAAGAUUCAUGAUGCGUUCGGUGGGCAUCCUGUGCUGCCCGCUCGGCUUGGUCCGGCCACUGCAGAUUUCUCUGGAUGGCCAGUGCUGCCCCCUCGGGUUUUGUUGUUGGCUCUUUUGUGCUUGAGCUGUGUUUCUUCCGGCUUAGGGGGACGACUCGCCGAUGGGUUUUGGUUUGGCCGUAAUCUGUGGCGGCGAAUUUCCCGUCCCCCUGAACUGUGGUUUUGUUUUUUGGUUUUUCGUUAGGUCGUGUUGCGCCUUACAUUGGUCCCUU